rnacentral:ncRNA from 1 species
AAAUCUAUUUCAGUAGAGCGUAUGAUGUCGAUGGCCCGAGGUAGAGCACUCAAUGGGCUAGGGUGGCCCCCAUUUCGCUUUACCAACCCCAGGGAAACUCCGAAUACAGGCCGUCAUCCUUAGUACAGACAGACUGAUUGGGUGCUAAGAUCCAAGGUCGAGAGGGAAACAGCCCAGAUCGUACGCUAAGGUCCCUAAGCAAUCACUUAGUGGAAAAGGAAGUGAUCGAGCGAUGACAACCAGGAGGUGGGCUUGGAAGCAGCCAUCCUUUGAAGAAAGCGUAAUAGCUCACUGGUCUAGCUCCAUGGCACCG